CUGUCAUGUACAUGAAAACAGUUUUAGUUUUAGUUUUGCGAUUUGUGACAUGGCGCCUUAUCCUGCUGGAACAACCAUCAGAACAUCGGUGCAUUGGGGUCAUAAAAGGAUGGACCUGGCAACAGCAGCAUGGCCAAAAACAUCGUAUUUGUACAUAGACAUUAAAGUUAUACAGACAUAAAAAUCAACCUCUAAUAUACAGAAUAUCUGCAAUUUCUGAUUUAACAUUAGUACUAUGAAGAUAAACAGCAUAAACAAUUUUCACUUGUUUCAUUGGCAGAUUUUUUCACUUAUUUCAAGCUAAAAUAUCUUGUCUUAAGUGAAAAAUCUGCCAAUGAAACAAGUGAAAAUUGUCAAGUUUUUUUCUAGUUUUAAGAUUCACUGUCUUGAAACAAGUUCCUUUAGCUUACUGAAAUGUUGCCCUUUAGCUGAUUGUCUCAUUUUAAGUGUAAUGAGAUAAUUUUGACUAGAAAUAAGAGAAAUAUACUUGGUAAGAUUUAGAGUUUUUGCAGUGAAUAAACAUGAAUUUUCAUCUCUUCUCACACUUUAGAGCCCUUUGCAGCUGUAACACUUUCUGUCAUUAGGUGGCAGUAUAUCUUUUGAAUUGCACACUGUUGUGAAUGGCACAAUGUUGUUUAACAAAUAAUGUUCAAGAUAAAAGAACACUCCACCCACUGGAUCACGAUUUGCUUAAAAGACACUUUCAUGAAACAAGACAGAAGUAUUCAGCACCACUGAGGACAUCUGUCACACGCCAUCAUGAUUAUUUUACUCCUAAGCAUCUAUUUUAAAUAUAUUCUAGCUUCAGGUUCCUCUUCAAGUGAUAAAGUCGACCAGACACCAGCUAAUAUUUACACAAAAGAAAAAGAAGUUAAAAUCCACUGCUCACACCGUAUUCAAAACUAUGACACAAUCCUCUGGUACAAGCAGUCAGAGAAACAGCUACAAUUACUUGGAUACCUGCGUUAUGGCACAAGUACUCCAGAGACAGGAGUGAAUGUAAAGAUAGAUGGGAGUGCAGAAAAAGAAGAGAACUGCACAUUAACGCUCAAGGAUCUCAAAGUGAGCAGCAGUGGAGUGUACUUCUGUGCUGCUAGUUACCACAGUGCUGCACAUCACUGCACCUCAAUACAAAAACCUAUCAAACACAUUUUUUGGUAUCUGUACAGCAGCUCACACCUGGCAUCAGCCAUUAUAACCAAUGUUGGUCUCACAAAUAUCACAUAUUAUAAACUUAUUUUUUCUGUUAACUAAUACAACCAAAUUAAUGAUAAGACAUUUCUCUCAAUACACUCUGUGAUGAUGGCAUUUUGGUAGUUUACAAUUAAAGGUUUUUGUGAAAAGAAACUGUGUUAUUGACUUUUAAAGAAAAGGAAACUGUAAAUUUGAGGGCUAUAUUGUAUAGCUACAUAAAUACCAGUUCAGUGCUGUACUUUAAUGUUCUUAAGCUGUUUUAUAACUUUAAUACCACUACCUUCAGUAAAAGACCAGCUUUAACAAUAAUUAAAUACCAGCAUAGAUUAAGAUGGAAACGUAAUAACAAGCAGAUUGAUGUUCAUUCAGUCAGAAAACACAACAUCAUGAUCAUUUGCGGCAUUUUGCCUUUAUUGGAAAGAGGCAGUGAAGAUGAUGGGAAAACAGGGGGAAACAAAGGGGGUAGACAAGCAGGAAAAGACCCAGAGGUCAGACACUGACCCAGGCUGCUGCUCUCUGGACAUGCAGAAUCUGGUUGCCUGCUUACUCACUAAACUAAACUGGCAUCCCAUCAUGAUCAUUUUCUUGCUUGCAUACACCCCCUUGCACCUUUAAUAUUUCCUCUCAUAAGGUGGCAGCAUAUAUCCUUGCUCAGAAUUGUAUACUGAGCAAAGAGUGUGCAUUUGUAAUAGUUAUUGACACAGUGAUAUUCAUUAUAAUAAACUCAGGACGUAAUAAGACUCCACCUGCUGAUUGCUCAUUUUCUCAUAAGAAAGUUUCUUCAUUGAUGAGAAAUGAUCGACGCAACAGAGAACAUCAUGAUCAUUCUACUCCUCAGCAUCUAUGCUAACAUCCUAGUUUCAGCAGGUUCCAGUGUUCAAGUCGACCAGACUCCAACUAAUAUUUACACAACAGGAGGAGAUGCUAAAAUCUACUGCUCACACAGUAUUCCAACCUAUAACCAAAUCCUCUGGUACAAGCAGUCAGAGAAAACUCUACAAUUACUUGGAUACCUGCGUUAUGGCACAGGUACUCCGGAGACGGGAGUGAACGUAACGAUAGACGGUGGUGCAAAUGAAAAAGAGAACUGCACUAUAACAAUCAAAGAUCUCAAAGUGAGCAGCAGUGGAGCUUACUUCUGUGCAGCUAGUUACCACAGUGCUGAAUAUCACUGCACCUCAAUACAAAAACCUAUCAAACACAUUUUUUGAUAUCUGUAUUGAAGCUCACAGCCUCAAACACCUGGAGUCAGCCAUUAUAACCAAUAUUGCUCUCACAAAUAUCAGAUAUUAUAAUAUAGGGUUCCCCGUGAGUAGCAAUGCAAUAUUUAACCUGCUACAUCAGGUUAUAAAAAGCAAUGACAUAACUUGCCCACAUGUAUCAUUUUCACCUUGCCAGGUUGAUUCUAUUACUUUUUUUUUUUUUAAGUUUCCAGUAUCUUAAUAUCUGAUUGAAAAAUAAUUAUAUUGU